rnacentral:lncRNA from 1 species
CCACUGAGCCACAAUGGGAACUCCUAUUUCACCUCUUUAAGGAAGAGAAUUUAAGGGGAGUUAAAUAGAUACAUUGAAGGUAUUAAGAUGGAAAAAGAAAGUCAAAACCUGAUUAAGGAAGAGAAAGGAAAAUAUAUGCCCAUGAGACCCAGCACUGAUUUGAACUCUGGCCUUUCCAGAAGACAGGGCAGAAGCGGGAACCCCAGGUCACGUGACCUGCCCUCCCCAGUGCAAGAGAGGCCCGAGGUCCCCCCAGAAAGAUAGUCACGUCCUGACUCUUCCGCAACACCUUGCACAAGUGCUCCCCAAAUUCAGGAGUGCACGUUAUUAUCAAUAAAGAAUCGAAUUACCAAAUAGUCCAAGGUAAAAAGAUUCAAGUCAGAUCGAUCCAGGAUAAUUCAGUUGAAGAAGACAAGCCACUGCUCGUCAGACACGUGCUUUCCUGGUGAUCUCACCUGAGAGAAGGGGAGAGUGGGGGUUCCCCGGGGUCGGGAGGGUGUCCCCUGGCUGCACUUCAGUGACCAACCCUUUUCUCCUCUGAUCUCGGGGAAGAGCUGGAGGACAGCAGUACCAGAGGACACCGCGUGGCGUCUCGGACGGCGCCGGAGGGCUGCCCCUCGCGGUCCGGGGGGCCAGAUUGACAUUCUGGCCAGAGGCUCUGAUGACAGGCCCCGUGAGCCCUCCUGCUGGUGGAGGGUGGUCCUUCUCCACAGGGUGACAAGUCACCAGAGUGCCUUCAGGAAGGCUCAGAUGUGCCUCAAUGAGCGGCUCUAGGUGACCCCUGCCCGGGUGACAUCGAGACUCGACCAUGCCGAUGGCCAACAGAAUUCUCUGCCAUGAUGGGAACCAUCUGCACUGUGUCAUUCUCCACGGCAGCUGCGAGUCCCACGUGGCUCGCGGGCUCUUGAAAUGUACAUGGCCGAGGAACUGAUGUUUAGACACGUGACUUGGUGUUAAUUAAUUUUCAUGAAUUUAAACAACCACGCAUGGCUAGGAGCCACUGUAUUGGGCAGAGCAACCCUGAAGCUCCAGGUCUCGGCACUGAUGGAAGGCUUCCAGGGAGCACAGUCUGUGGACAGGCGCUGCUCAGAACCUACCCAGAUCAACCUUAGGGAUGCUCGCGAGGGGGCCCCUUGGGAUACGUCAGAAGCCAAAGACCCCUCCCAGACACUUGAAUCAACUGGUCAGCUUAAUGAAACUACAUAGUAUUGACCCGACACGUUUUGGAGAAGGGUCUGCCAAACACACCCGUCGAGGUUUCAACAGAUCUGGGACUGGGCCAUCCUGGUGCUGGGGAACGAUGAAGCCCAACUGCUUCCCCGAGGCACCCCGAAUUCCCACAUAACCCACGGUCAUCAAACACCCGCAAGCAUGCGUGCGCUCUUGCUAAUGGCUAUGGCAGGAGAGCACGGAGAAAGUUCAUCUGAAUGUGGCAAUUAACUCCCACCUAAUGGUCUAGAAUAAAACACAGCUCUGUUUUCAACACUUGCGAUUAAGACCCGACAUGUCUGGAUGGCAUUUUGGCCUGCCCCUCACGCUUAGAGGGCUAAUAAAAUUCAGCCUGCGGAAAAGAAGCAAUGGCCAAUGAUUUCAGUUAGGUUUGGCCAUUAACUGACUUUGGUCCACAAAUAAAAAGGCCAAUGAAAGACGUAAGAAAGGUACCAACAGUUCUGGAUCCGUUUUUCCACACGUUGAAAGAGCACAACCGUUCCCUAAAAUGUUUAGAAACAUGAGUUCGGUUUUGUCAUGAUGCAUUAAAGCUGAUUUCGCGAGGAGAAAAGGACAACACUUUUUUCUAGUCUCAUAUAUAAUAACAAAUAGAACUUUGGGUUACUAAAGAACAUUCCUGGCAAGAGUGAAGGGAGGGAUUACGGGAGAGAAGCCUGGUGCUUGAACUGGAAGGAGCUUUGAUUCCAAGGAAGGCUGGGAGGUGGCGGGACGGCAGCAGGACUGAGAGCCUGGGCUGUGACCGUGGGCAUGAUGGGGCCAUGGGCACUGGUGGAACACCAAAUUCUCCUUGGCAAGAAUCUGCUGCUUAAAGAACAAACACCCAGGGCAUCCACCCAAACAAAUGCCAUGUCCCAAGGCAGGACGGGGUGAGGAUAUGGGAACAGAGAAAGAACUAGAGGAGUCCCUGAGAGCACCAGGGGAUACUGGUCAAAGAUGAGCCUAGAAAGAAUGCAGAGACGGAGUUCCCAUUGUAGCUCAGUGGAAAUGAAUCUGAGUAGAAACCAUGAGCGUGUGGGUUCAAUCCCUGGCCUUGCUCAGCAGGUUAAGGAUCCGGCAUUGCCAUGAGCUGUGGUCUAGGUUGCAGACGACGCUUGGAUCUGGAAUUGCUUUGGCUGUGGUGUAGGCUGGAGGCUGUAGUUCCAAUGUGACCACUAGCCCCCUAUGCUGCAGGUGCAGCCCUAAAAAGCAAAAAAAAAAAAAAAAAAAAAAAA